AUUGAACGCUGGCGGCGUGCUUAACACAUGCAAGUCGAUCGGUAACGCGGGGGCAACCCUGGCGACGAGAGGCGGACGGGUGAGGAACGCUUGGGAAUCUGCCCUUCAGCGGGGGACAACACGGGGAAACUCAAGCUAAUACCGCAUAAUGUCUGAGGACAAAAGCUGGGGACCUUCGGGCCUGGCGCUUCAAGAUUAGCCUGCGUCCGAUUAGCUAGUUGGUAGGGUAAAGGCCUACCAAGGCGACGAUCGGUAGCUGGUCUGAGAGGAUGACCAGCCAACCUGGAACUGAGACACGGUCCAGGCUCCUACGGGAGGCAGCAGUGGGGAAUAUUGGACAAUGGGGGGAACCCUGAUCCAGCAAUGCCGCGUGUGUGAAGAAGGCCUGAGGGUUGUAAAGCACUUUCAGUAGGGAGGAGAGUUGAUAGGUUAAGAGCUAAUUGACUGGACGUUACCUACAGAAGAAGCACCGGCUAACUCCGUGCCAGCAGCCGCAGUAA
rnacentral:rRNA from 1 species